rnacentral:rRNA from 1 species
GACGAACGCUGGCGGCGCGCUUAACACAUGCAAGUCGAGCGAUGAAAUUUCGACAGAUCCCUUCGGGGUGAAGAUGAAAUGGAUUAGCGGCGGACGGGUGAGUAACACGUGAGUAACCUGCCUUUGACAUUGGGAUAGCCUCGGGAAACUGGGAUUAAUACCAAAUGACACUAACUGAUCACAUGAUCAAUUAGUCAAAGAAAUUCGGUCAAAGAUGGACUCGCGGCUGAUUAGCUAGUUGGUGAGGUAACGGCCCACCAAGGCGAGGAUCAGUAGCCGGCCUGUGAGGGUGAUCGGCGACAUUGGAACUGAGACACGGUCCAAACUCCUACGGGAGGCAGCAGUGGGGAAUAUUGCACAAUGGGGGAAACCCUGAGGCAGCGACGCCGCGUGAGCGAAGAAGGCCUUCGGGUCGUAAAGCUCUUUUAUGAGGGAAGAUAAUGACGGUACCUAAAGAAAAAGCCCCGGCUAACUACGUG